UCUCUAUGGUAGCAUUAUACUUUUGUAAAUUCUCAAUGGUAACAAAAUUAUUGGCAUUUUCUCAAAAAUAACAUUAAUAAUACAGAUUUUCUCUAAUAUAGCAUUAUUGCAGUAAUUUCAACAUAAUUUACCAAUAUAAUAUUAACUAUGGUUAAAAAUCAGUUAAAUUAAUUACCCUAUUUUACUAUCCUCAAAUAUUCAAACCAAAAGGUCUCCAACAAUCACGAUUAAAGUCCUCUGCAACCCCUCAUUUUUUUUCCAGGGGGUUUCUACACAUGUGUUGUUGUCCAGUUCAAACAGGUGUGGGAACCCGUUGUGGCGGAAGCUAUAGUUGUAGUCUGGGGCUUGCGGGUAGCCAGGGAUGUAGGCUUAUCUAAAGUGGUGGUGGAGAGCGACUGCUUGGAGGUUAUUCGAUUGAAUCGAGUUAACGAACAAACAAAGAAUUGAUUUUUAACCAUAGUUAAUAUUAUAUUGGUAAAUUAUGUUGAAAUUACUGCAAUAAUGCUAUAUUAGAGAAAAUAUGUAUUGUUAAUGCUAUAUUUGAGAAAAUGCCAAUAACUUUGUUA